GAUCGAUCGCGGACGAACGUCUCGCCAACCCGGUCAGGUCCGGAAGGAAGCAGCCGUAACGAGUUUUUGUUCGGGUCGCUGGUCGGUCUUC
rnacentral:SRP_RNA from 1 species